UACGGAGGGUGCAAGCGUUAUCCGGAUUCACUGGGUUUAAAGGGUGCGUAGGUGGGUCUGUAAGUCAGUGGUGAAAUCUCCGUGCUUAACAUGGAAACUGCCAUUGAUACUAUAGGUCUUGAAUUAUCUGGAGGUUAGCGGAAUAUGUCACGUAGCGGUGAAAUGCUUAGAUAUGACAUAGAACACCAAUUGCGAAGGCAGCUGGCUACAGGUACAUUGACACUGAGGCACGAAAGCGUGGGGAUCAAACAGG
rnacentral:rRNA from 1 species